ACGGAAGGCAGCAGUGAGGAAUAUUGGUCAAUGGGCGUAAGCCUGAACCAGCCAAGUAGCGUGAGGGAUGACUGCCCUACGGGUUGUAAACCUCUUUUGUUUGGGAAUAAAGUAGACUACGUGUAGUCUUUUGCAUGUACCUUUCGAAUAAGCAUCGGCUAAUUCCGUGCCAGCAGCCGCGGUAAUACGGAAGAUGCGAGCGUUAUCCGGAUUUAUUGGGUUUAAAGGGUGCGCAGGCGGCACGUUAAGUCAGCGGUGAAAUGCAGGGGCUCAACCCCGGCACUGCCGUUGAAACUGGCGAGCUCGAGUACGGAUGAAGUCGGCGGAAUGUGAUGUGUAGCGGUGAAAUGCUUAGAUAUGUCACAGAACACCGAUUGCGAAGGCAGCUGACUAAUCCGCAACUGACGCUCAGGCACGAAAGCGUGGGGAUCGAACAGGAUUAGAUACCCUGGUA
rnacentral:rRNA from 1 species